AACGCGAAGAACCUUACCUACCCUUGACAUCUAUGGAAUUUAGUAGAGAUAUCGAAGUGCCGCAAGGAACCAUAAGACAGGUGCUGCAUGGCUGUCGUCAGCUCGUGUUGUGAGAUGUUGGGUUAAGUCCCGUAACGAGCGCAACCCUUAUCCUUAGUUGCCAACGCGUAAUGGCGGGGACUCUAAGGAGACUGCUGGUGAUGAACCGGAGGAAGGCGGGGACGACGUCAAGUCAUCAUGGCCUUUAUGGGUAGGGCUACACACGUGCUACAAUGGUCGGUACAAAGGGUUGCCAAACCGCGAGGUGGAGCCAAUCUCAAAAAGCCGAUCGUAGUCCGGAUUGAAGUCUGCAACUCGACUUCAUGAAGUCGGAAUCGCUAGUAAUCGCGAAUCAGAAUGUCGCGGUGAAUACGUUCCCGGGCCUUGUACACACCGCACGA
rnacentral:rRNA from 1 species